ACACCUCAACUCUUCAUGGUUUUCUGUGAUGAGCUUGGACUUUGGGGGUUUUGCUGGCCCUAUGGUUGGCUCCUCUAAAAUGAAUCAGCUUUCCAGUGUUUGGUGGGCGUCACAGGUGUGAUAACUAUCUACGCUUGUGGUUUUCUCACCAGGUAACCUUCAGCAGUGGAGGUUUGCUGGAGCUCAUAGAUGUCACUCCUCAGUGAGGACAACCCUUUGAAU
rnacentral:misc_RNA from 1 species